GCUGCAGCAAACGCAUUAAGCACUCCGCCUGGGGAGUACGGUCGCAAGACUGAAACUCAAAGGAAUUGACGGGGGCCCGCACAAGCGGUGGAGCAUGUGGUUUAAUUCCAAGCAACGCGAAGAACCUUACCAGGUCUUGACAUCCUCUGCCAACCCUAGAGAUAGGGCUUUCCCCUUCGGGGGACAGAGUGACAGGUGGUGCAUGGGUGUCGUCAUCUCGUGUCGAGAGAUGUUGGGUUAAGUCCCGCAACGAGCGCACCCCUUGAUCUUAGUUGCCAGCAUUUAGUUGGGCACUCUAAGGAGACUGCCGGUGACAAACCGGAGGAAGGUGGGGAUGACGUCAAAUCAUCAUGCCCCUUAUGACCUGGGCUACACACGUGCUACAAUGGAUGGUACAAAGGGCUGCGAGACCGCGAGGUUAAGCCAAUCCCAUAAAACCAUUCUCAGUUCGGAUUGCAGGCUGCAACUCGCCUGCAUGAAGCCGGAAUCGCUAGUAAUCGCGGAUCAGCAUGCCGCGGGUGAAUACGUUCCCGGGCCUUGUACACACCGCCCGUCACACCACGGAGAGUUUGUAACACCCGAAGUCGGUG
rnacentral:rRNA from 1 species